rnacentral:rRNA from 1 species
CUACGGGCGGCUCCAGUGGGGAAUUUUGCGCAAUGGGGGAAACCCUGACGCAGCAAUACCGCGUGAGUGAAGAAGGCCUUUGGGUCGUAAAGCUCUUUUCUUGGGGAAGAUAGUGACGGUACCCAAGGAAUAAGCACCGGCUAACUCCGUGCCAGCAGCCGCGGUAAUACGGAGGGUGCAAGCGUUGUUCGGAUUUACUGGGCGUAAAGGGCACGUAGGCGGCACAGCAAGUUAAGGGUGAAAUCCCGGGGCUCAACUCCGGAACUGCUCUUAAAACUGCUGAGCUAGAGAUAGUCAGAGGCGGGUGGAAUUCCAGGUGUAGAGGUGAAAUUCGUAGAUAUCUGGAGGAACACCGGUGGCGAAGGCGGCCCGCUGGGGCUAUUCUGACGCUAAGGUGCGAAAGCGUGGGGAGCAAACGGGAUUAGAUACCCUCGUAGUC